UGUCCGAUGGUGUAAUUGGCAACACAGCAGAUUUUGGUUCUGUCGUUCAAGGUUCGAGUCCUUGUCGGACAG
rnacentral:tRNA from 1 species